CCCUGUAUUAAAAGGUGAUUGUGUGGUGUGUAUCCCUAGUCAUUGAUACUACAGGGAGAGGAUGCCGAAAGGUUUUUCCCUGCACUUGGAAGGUUCAUUCUUUCCUGUCCUUGCUAAAUCUUGGUCUUCUGAACC